GCAUGCCCGAGGCUGCUCCAGAGCUGUGCGUGUGCCCCCAGGGAUGUUGUGGGGUGGGCUGGAUUUUGUCUGCGUGUCCUCCUCCUGAGAGUGCCAAGGGAGACGAGAGCUGGCAGCACAGUGUCUUUUCCAUCCUCAGUGCUGAUGUGAUUUUCUCAAAUGGACCUUUUUCCCACAGCUCUAUGAUGACACCAAGCAGCACAGCGAGGCUGAUAGUGCAGAGCUGACCCACUGCAUCAUGCUGCAGGCCCAAAUCUGCCCAGAGGAAACAGUCCUGUUUCUGGAGUCGCAGCUGGGUAAUGAGUGGGAAGCUGGAUGCGUGGCAGCACUGGGUCUGCUCAGUGCUCUGGCUCACUCUGAUGAACCCGCGCUGACAGAGCAGCUGCCCCAGAUUGUAGAGGCUGUGCAGCAUUUGUGCAGCAACCCCAGGCCCCAGGUGAGCUGGUUUGGGAAAGGAAAGUGAUGUCAGGGUAGUGAUGCUGCUGCCAACACGGGUAGGGCUGGGUGUCCAGAGAAGUGCUUGGGCAUUGACCACAUGGUCGUGAUGGUUCCUGUGAGGAGAGCAGGCAAAGUGGAGUGGGCAGGUCCCUGUGCUGUGUACGGAAAGCACACGGCCUGGUGCA